rnacentral:rRNA from 1 species
GGAGGGUGCAAGCGUUGUUCGGAAUUAUUGGGCGUAAAGAGCGUGCAGGCGGUUCGGUAAGUCAGAUGUGAAAGCCCUGGGCUCAACCCAGGAAGUGCAUUUGAAACUACCAGACUUGAGUACGGGAGAGGAGGGGGGAAUUCCCGGUGUAGAGGUGAAAUUCGUAGAUAUCGGGAGGAAUACCAGUGGCGAAGGCGCCCCUCUGGACCGAUACUGACGCUGAGACGCGAAAGCGUGGGGAGCAAACAGGAUUAGAUACCCUGGUAGUCCACGCCGUAAACGAUGAGCACUAGGUGUAGCGGGUAUUGACCCCCUGCUGUGCCGUAGCUAACGCAUUAAGUGCUCCGCCUGGGGACUACGGUCGCAAGACUA